CUGUUUCUGUACGAUUUGUUUUCUUCGAUUCCGUUACUUUUGUUGUCCAUUUCUUCUUUGAUUUUUCGAUCCUUGGUAUCGAGUUAAAUCGAAGUUCCGUUUCUAUCUUUUUCUCCGUCUUCAACCAAUUCAGUUGGUUUUUCCUCAGCUAAAUAGAAUUCAUGAGCCACGUCACAUGAUUCUUUUGUAACUUUAUUGUCUGCUAAAGAACUUUCUGCAAUAAGUUCUUUUAUUAUAUUGGAUCCAUUUUUGGUAGCAGCAUCAGCAAAUAAUGAAAUGCCAUUGGGACCACUACAAUAAAACAUUUUAUGUAAUUUGGAAUAUAUUAAUCUUUCCGUAGCAAGUGUGGUUAGUGGUGAUUUUGUAAAACGAAAAGGCUUUGGCAACAAUUAUGUUAAGUGUGAAACCAUCACAAUUAGGGUACGUAAAGAACUGUACCUGUGCAUUAGAAGCAUGGGCGAAACUAAGAAAUGUGUAUAAGCCCAGUGGCCCAAUACGAAAAGUAAGCUUAUACAAACGGCUACAAGAUAUAUACAAGAAUUUGUUAACGUUUCGGAUAAGUUCGCAGAGUUAGACAUCAAGCUAAGUGACGAGUUGCUGGUCAUAAUCCUAUUAUCCAGUUUGUCCUGAAAUUUCGAGAAUUUCGUGAUUGCGAUGGAGACACGUGAUUCAUUUCCAACCUUUGAAAUAAUAAAAGUUAAGCUGUUGGAAGAGUUCGACGAGGAGAAGGAGAAAGAAAGCGUUGCCGAGUCAAGUCAGCAAGCUUUUCUCGCAAACUACAAAGGGGAAAACAAGUGGAAAGCGUGGGCAUAUGCCCUCAAAAUAUAAAGCGCCGAAAAAAAGACAAAAACAUUGGCGAUAAUGAUAAAUGUUCCUUUGCAGUAUUAGCAGCAACAGGCGUAUCAGGUUUCCGAAAAUCUUCGUGGUGUAUUGACAGUGGUGCGUCUACUCACAUAUGCAGCGAACGAAGUAUGUUUAUCUCUGUAAUGAAAAAGUGAUGCUAGCAUCGGAAAAAUACGUAAACGCAGUUGGGAAAUUUUAUUUCUGUUGGAAAAGCAAUAACUAAUCGAGCGAGUGUAAGUUUUGAGAAUGACUGUGCGAUCAUAAGAAAUCAAAAACGCGAUAUUGUGUUAAAAGCUCCAAAGAUAAAUAAUCUUUAUAUGUUUGAUUGUAAGAGCAGUAUGCAUUCGUGUUUCGGUGCAGCAGAAAAGAAUAUUAUGAUUUGGCAUAAACGCUAUGGACACUUGAAUUUUUCAAGUCUAAGAGAACUAUCCAAUAAGAAAAUUGUGAACGGGUUAGAAUUGAAGAGUGUGCCAAAAAAUAUAAACUGUGACGUGUGUAUGAAAACAAAAAUAAGCCAAAGGCCAUUUUCAAACAGUGAGCAUAGUUCUGUGAAUUUGUUAGACAUAAUUCACUCUGAUGUAUGUGGACCUAUGCCAAGAAUGUCUCUGGGUGGUGCUCGUUAUUUUGCAACUUUCAUAGACGACAAGACGCAUUUUUGUAUAUUUUUUGAAACAUAAAAAUGAAGUCCUAGAAAAAUUCAAAAUGUUUAAAAAUCUCGUGGAAUAUCAAACAGAGAAACGAAUUAAGGUGGUGAGAAGUGACAAGUGGUACUGAGUAUGUCAACAAUGAGUUCGAUAAUUUUCUUAAUGCAAGCGGUAUACAAAGACAGUUGACAGUUCCCUAUACUCCUCAACAAAACGGAGUAGCAGAACGCGCAAAUCGUACGAUUGUAGAGAUGGCUCGCAGUAUGCUUGUGCAGGCUGGAGUUUGUGAGUCGUUAUGGGCUGAAGCUGUUGCUACUGCAGUCUAUAUCCGUAAUCGUGCAGUUACUAGACAACUUGGUGAUAAAACACCAUGCGUGGUUUGGACAGGUUAUAAGCCAAAUGUACGUCAUUUGAGAAUAUUUGGUUCAAAGGCAGUUGGGCCACCAUCCGGCCCGCAUAGGCCCUUCAUCCGGCCCGCCAUCUUUUAGAGUCUUUGGGCAUCCCAGUUGUAAAGGUUUGCUUCUAUAUGUUUACAUGUGUGUGUGUCAAUUAAAAAACUUACUCUAUUGCAAGUAACGCAGUGCUCCCUAUAGUAAAUAAAAAAAGUAGUUGAUAAAAAAGAGUACCUAUAAAGUACUGUACUUUGCAAGUGCCUACAAAUUGGUUUAAAUCUCAUGAGUAUAUCAAGCAAAACGCGUACAUGUACAAAAAGAAAACAAAACAAAAGAAGCGUGCCAUAUGGCACCAACUGAUUCAAAUAACGCAACAACAAAUUCAUGAGAAAUAUUUUCGUCACAAACAUCAGCACGAGCUAAUGGGAAAACCUGUGUAUUUGUUUUUUCGCAUUCUCGCUCCAGCAAAUUUUGUGGAAAAAAUAGCAACAACAUUCAUCAUUUUUUCUUAUGAACCGUUAACCAAGAAGUAAUAGGAAAUCGUAUGCAAAAAAAAUGAUAAUUUGGGAGCGAUGAAAAAACAAAUUGUUUUUGUUCUCGCACCACAAAUUUCAUUGUUGGAAAGUCUUUGCAUUUGUUUUUGUACAAAUUAAUAUACAUAAUAUUAAUUACAUACAAAUUAAUAUAAUAUCAAUUACAUACAAAUUGUUUGAAAAAUAAGUAAUUAGUAAUGACUUCAAAAGUCAUCUGUCUCUUAUUUGCCUACGUGUGCGUGUGAUUGUGCAUGUACACGAUGAAUGAGUGCUUACAUCAUGUAGAAAAAAACGGCUCUCAAUAAAUCGGAUUCAACUUGUUUUGACAGUUUUAAGACAACGAUCGGAGCGAUUCAAGCGAUACAUAAGCGAGGAAGAAAGUGAAUUUGAGCAGUGUUUUGCGUUAAAUCAGUUUGUGAAUUAGUUGUGUUUUUAAUAAAGAAACCUCUGUUUUUCUAGCCUUUGGCACUACAUAUAUUAUUUCGUGAAUUAUUGCAUUGAAAUAUUAAAACGGUAAGCAAAUAAUGCAAUUCUCCAAAAAUGUAAUUAUUUUAGUUAUGAUGUUUUUCUUUAGUUAUAAAUAUAUGACCGGUCAACAAGCGAUGUUCAAAAUACCGAAAGAAAAUUCCGAAACUGUUACAAAAAUUAGUUUCAUGAUAGCAGAAGUCAUUGCCAAGCAAAGCAAACCUCUAUCAGACGGAGAGUUCGUCAAGGAAUGCUUGGAGAUAUUCGCUUCAGUAGCCUGUCCGGAGCAGAAUAAAAUAAUAAAAAAUAUAAGUUUGUCACAUCAAACCAUAGCAAGAAGAAUUGAUUUCAUGGCCUACGAUAUUGAGUCGUCUUUAAAAACGCAAUUGCAGAAAUGUGUUUUCUAUAGUUUAGCGCUCGACGAAAGUACUGAUAUGUCAGAUACAGCCCAAUUAUCCGAAGACUAUACCGUUAUCGAGGAAUUGUUAGAUUUUCGUUCAAUGAAAGAUACAACCACUGGACAAGACAUCUACGAAGAAGUUAAAAGUUGUAUAGAAAAAUAUGAACUUCAAACAGAAAAACUUUGCGGCUUAACAACAGAUGGUGCGCCUGCAAUGACGGGGAAGAGAAACGGCUUUGUGGUUUUGAUGCGUAAUAGCAUCACACAUACAAUCAUACAGCAUCAUUGUAUUAUUCACCAAGAACAGCUAUUUUAUACGCGCAAGAGGGCUUAACCACAAACAGUUCCAGGCUUUUCUGGCUGAUGUCGGUUCAGAUCACGAAGACAUUCUAUACUUCAGUCGCGUUCGCUGGCUCAGCAGAGCAGCUACACUAAAACGAUUCUAUUCCCUGCUGGACGACUUAAAGAAUUUUCUUGACAACAAAGAGUAAGAAAUUACUUUCCUUACUGAUGAGCAGUGGUUGGCUGAUCUGUCUUUCCUGGUUGAUAUAACUAAAUAUCUUUCUGAUCUUAACUUGAAACUGCAAGGGAAAGACUAACUAUGCACACAGUUAUACGAACACGUUCUAGCUUUCACAAAAAAGCUUUUGUUGUUGGAAAGGCAGCUGGAACAAAAGCAGUUGAUUCAUUGGGAGACCUUAUCUACAAGAAAGCAAGAUACCUUGGAUUUUGACAAGUACGUGUUGAUGUUACAAAGAUUAAGGAACAAGUUUGACGACAGAUUCUCAGACUUCAAAUUACAAACUCCCUGCCUGAAAGUGUUUCAAAAUUCAUUUGAUGUUGCAAUUGAAGGCGCUACGCUGAAUUUAUAGCUGGAGUUAAUAGAAUUGCAAAGCCGCUCUCAUCUAAAAACAGCAUAUAAUAAUUGUCUUCCAAACUUAAUUGAAUUUUACAAAAAGACCUUAUCCAGUCAAUACCCAAACCUUACUAAGCUGGCUAUUCAACAAAUUAUCUUUGGUAGUAUCAACAAAUCUUUAUUUGGUAGAACAUAUGGUUGCGAGCAGCUGUUUUCUCGCAUGAAAUUUAACAUAACAAAAACCAGAUCAUCUUUAUUAGAUAGCCAUCUUAAAGGCAUUUUGCGAAUAGCCACUUCUAAAACUCCAGCUGACAUAGAUGUGCUGUGCAAACAGAAAAAAUGUCAGACAUCUCAUUAAUUAGAUUUUAAGAAUAAGAAUAUCUUUAUAUGCUAAGGCCAUAGUUACAUUAAUAAUAAUAUAUUAAGAUUUAUGUGAUGUUGCUUUUUAUAAAUAAAUAAAUAUACCAAAACUAAAGGUCAUUUUAUUUUUUUUUGCCCGCUACGGUUAUGAAAAUGCUAAACCUGGCCCUUCACAAAAUUAUGUUGGACGGGCCUGGUCUAGAUAAAAGUCAACACCAAAGGCAUGGUUCUCAUUUACUACUCUGUAGCAGCAAAAUUUCUAGAAUUAUUGCUAUGCUAUCGCUACCGCUCUCACUUUGUCGACAGCCACAGCAUAGCCUAGCAUAACAAUGUAAAAGUAUGUGCUCUACUCUGCUCCUAGUUUUGUUAGGUAAAAAACUAUAGCUGGAGCGGGAGCAAAAUAUUAAAUUCUUCGCUAUGAUCUGGCGUAGUGGUAGCAAAAAAUUGAGAGCGGUAGCACAGCAGAGCUAAUGAAAAUUUUCAUGUGCUACAGCUAUUUUGUUUUUUUUUUAUUUUUCUUCAGAAAUCUUUUCGAAAUAUUGCACAAAGCUGUGCAAUAUACAUUGAAGUACAGUAGUUUUCCGAAUUAACGAAUAUUCGUUUUAACGAAACCGCUUAUAACGAAAAAACAAAUUUGUUACAUUGAGUACCUUAAAUAACGAACAUCGGAGAUUUUUAAGUACUCGGUUUAACGAACAACAUGAAGAAAACAUAUGAAGAAAGAGAAAAAAAUCAAAUGACAUCGAAACCACGUAUAUUUCUGGCCUAAUAAUGAAAAGAGGAAUAUUUAUCAACGAAAAUGGUUUUAUUGUUUUUCAAAAUAUUUUCCAUCAAGAUUUAUACUCUUUUGCAUGCGCUCAAACCAAUUUUCGAAUCAAUUUUUUUGAGCCUUUUUUUGAGCGAUUGUCAAAUUGUGCGGGAUCCAACGAGAACAAUCCUUUUUUACGGCCAGGUGUUCAUGCAAUAUCGAAUGUAUGCUGGUGGGAGAAAUGCAUAGGCAUGCCUCUAUCUGAAGGUAUGUUACAUGACGGUCUUGCAUUAUCAGUUCACGUACGGCAUCGAUGUUUUCUGGCACAACGGCUGUUUUUGGACGACCUUCUUUGAGCGAGCGUCGGCCACGAUUGAAUUCGUUGUACCAGUUUUUCACAGUGCUAUAGGAUGGUUCUGUGUUUCUUAUUCACUGGUUAUUCGUUUUUAUGUGGUGGGUCCCAAACCCUACGCACAACCGCACAAGCGGGCUUCGCCUUCUCACUUUAGCUCGCCUCCAAACGGAUGUCUGUUAGCUACCCAGGGGAUACUUGGUCUAAAACCGGAAGUCGUGAGCUGCUUGAGUCAUAUGCAAAAGAAUCGUUCCUGGCCACUCCCAAGUGAAUGGCAAUCAGAAACUUUCCUCACUUGCGUGAACUUCUACAUAUGACCCCAUCCUUCUACAUAUGACCCCAUCUGAAAAGUAAAGUCCUCUCUCGACGAACCAAAAUCAAACUCUAUAAGUCGCUCAUUAUUCCCGUCCUGAUGUAUGGCGCUGAAGCGUGGACGAUGACAACAUCCGAUGAGACGACUCUUGGGGUUUUCGAGAGAAAGGUUUUGCGCAAGAUUUAUGGUCCUCUAAACAUUGGCAACGGCGAAUACCGCAGACGAUGGAACGAUGAGCUGUACGAUUUAUACGACGACAUUGACAUAGUUCAGCGAAUAAAAAGACAGCGGCUACGCUGGCUAGGUCAUGUUGUACGGAUGGAAGAAAACACUCCAGCUCUGAAAGUAUUCGAUGCAGUACCCGCUGGAGGAAGCCGCGGAAGAGGACGACCUCCACUCCGGUGGAAAGACCAAGUGCAAAGUGACCUGGCUUCACUUGGUGUUUCCAGUUGGCGCCAAAAAGCAAAAAGGAGGAAUGAGUGGCGCGCUCUGGUGGAUUCGGCUAUAAUCGCUUAAAGCGGUUCCUACGCCAAAUAUAUAUAUAUAUAUAUAUAGGAUGGUUCUUCAUAGCCAUACAAAGAUUUUAGUUCAUCGAUGCACUCUUGUCGCGAUAAUUCACGUCGAAAGUUGUGAAAAAUUAUCGCACAAAAAUGUUCACGAGUUAAUUCCAUUUUUUGGCCGAGAUGAAUUUUUUAAUUCCCUGUAAAUAAAACAAUUCACGAUUAAAUGACAAAACGUUUUGAGUGAAGUUUUUGCAAAAAAACGGUUUUCGCUACACCACCCGACUACCCACAGUGCCACGGGUGUGCCACAAAAAACCGGUGGCAUAAAGUAUCCAAUAACCGGUUACUGUAGUACUACACAGUACCAGGCGUUUGCCGCAAAAAUUCGGUAGUAAGUGGGGUAGGGUUUUUUAGCGAAAUAUUGGCAAUACGGGAACCCUGUAUAUGCAAAUUGUCAAAACAAUAUACACCGGCACAAAAAAUCAGCUGAUUUGACGUUCAACUUAACUCUAAAUCCAUUUAUGCACCCGAGUUAACUCGUCUACAUACGUAAAGAAAAUGUGUAUAUUCUAUCCGAGUAGAUCAUUUAAUUCGUGGUGAAAAGGUGUUUAUGCAUGUGGGUUGAACUUACCCGUGUAUAAUAUAACCGAGUAGAAAUGAAGCAUAAACGUAGUAUAUGUUGAGUUUUAUAAAAAAGCUUAAAAUUAUUGAAAAAAACAUACCUCUCUACUCGAAAUAACAAAAAAUUCGAUGUAACGAAUAAGCCUGACAAUUAAUGUGUUCGUUAUUUCGGAAAACUACUGUAUUUCAAUGUAUAUUGCACAGCUCUGUGCAAUACUUCGAAAAGAUUUCUGAAGAAAAAGAAAAAAACAACAAACACAUGCGAGAGCUGUAGCACAUGAAAAUUUUCAUUAGCUCUGCUAUGCUACCGCUCUCAAUUUUUUGCUACCGCUACGCCAGAGCAUAGCGCAGAAUUUAAUUUUUUGCUCCCGCUCCAGCUAUAGUUUUUUACCUAACAAAACUCGGAGCAGAGUAGAGCACAUACUUUUACAUUGUUAUACUAGGCUAUGCUGUGGCUCUCGACAAAGUGGGAGCGGUAGGAAAAGUAAAAUGAAAUGCUACGAGAGUAGCGUAGUUUUUCAAAAGCUGUUUAAAAUAUAAACAAUUCAAAAAAUUACACAUACAGUAGCGGAUUCAAAAACGGGACACUUACUUACAGUGACUUUAAAUCGAUGUAGUAUUAAUAAAUCAAACUAUUUAUUUUCCUGAGUGUACACGUCAUUGCAAAUAUAAUGCGUACCUUCAAUAUGCAUCGUGAUGAUAUCGCGAUAUAUAUUGAAUAUUGAUGGAUUACUUCGCGACUGCUAGACGUUCAAUAUAUAUUACGUCAAUAUUUUUACGAUGUUGUUAGUGUUUUCAUAAGAAAAAAUAUUUAAAAAAUUUAUUUCUUUAUUUUAAUAUCAAAAUUCAAUAUUUAUCUUGCAAUCCACGAUCCGCGAUCUGGAUUUCAAAAUAUUUAAAUAUACCCUGCAAGACGGAGGUAACAAACUGCACAAACACAAUCAAACUUUUUUCAGCUGUUUACACAUACAUAUACAACAAAUACAUUUGUUUACAAUUGGAAUUGAAUUGGAGAAAGCUUUAUUUAGAACGAGAAAAAAUAUUGCCACUGUAAGCAUAUUGAUAUAAUAACAUGCUAAAAGAAGACAUACAUAUCCCUGCAAGACGGAGGUAACAAACUGCACAAACACAAUCAAACUUUUUUCAGCUGUUUACACAUACAAUUACAACAUUUACAUUUGUUUACAAUUGGAAUUGAAUUGGAGAAAGCUUUAGUUAGAACGAGAAAAAAUAUUGCCACUGUAAGCAUAUUGAUAUAAUAACAUGCUAAAAGAAGACAUAUAUUACAUUAAAAAAAAAGAAAAACUGAAAUUGAAGCGGCAAUUUGGCCAUUUUAUAAAAAAUUUGGGCUUGAAGAGAGGAGAUAUAUAAAAGAAUUAAUUUUAAAAUGCAAAAUCAAAGCAAAGACAACGACCGGGACUUCAUUUUAUACAAAAGAAAAUGACCCCCAGAGGUGAUCUAGUUAUUGAUGACCAGAGUAUACUGAGUUUGUGGAGGGAACACUUCUCCAGCCUGCUGAAUGGCAGUGAAAGUACAACACCAGGAGAUGGCGAACCCGAUUCCCCAAUCGACGACGAUGGAGCAGAUGUUCCAUUGCCCGACCGUGAAGAAAUUCGAAUAGCAAUUACCCGCUUGAAGAACAAUAAGGCGGCGGGUGCCGAUGGAUUACCGGCCGAGCUAUUCAAAUACGGCGGCGAAGAGCUGAUAAGGUGCUUGCAUCAGCUUCUUUGCAGAAUAUGGUCGGAAGAAAGCAUGCCUGACGAUUGGAAUCUCAGUGUACUCUGCCCAAUACACAAAAAGGGAGACCCCACAAUUUGCGUCAAUUACCGUGGGAUAAGACUCCUCAACAUCGCGUAUAAGGUUCUGUCGAGCGUAUUGUGUGAAAGACUAAAGCCCACCGUCAACAAACUGAUUGGACCUUAUCAGUGUGGCUUUAGACCUGGAAAAUCAACAACGGACCAGAUAUUCACCAUGCGCCAAAUUUUGGAGAAGACCCGUGAAAAUAGGAUCGACACACACCAUCUCUUUUUCGACUUUAAAGCUGCUUUCGACAGCACGAAAAGGAGCUGCCUUUAUGCCGCGAUGUCUGAAUUUGGUAUCCCCGCAAAACUAAUACGGCUGUGUAAGCUGACGUUGAGCAACACCAAAAGCUCCGUCAGGAUCGGGAAGGACCUCUCCGAGCCGUUCGAUACCAGACGAGGUUUCAGACAAGGUGACUCACUCUCGUGUGAUUUCUUUAACCUGAUGCUGGAGAAAAUAAUACGAGCUGCAGAGCUAAACAGAGAAGGUACAAUCUUCUAUAAGAGUGUACAGCUACUGGCGUACGCCGAUGAUAUCGAUAUCAUUGGAAACAACACCCGCGCCGUUAGAUCUGCUUUCUCCAGACUGGAUAAGGAAGCGAAACGUAUGGGUCUGGUGGUGAACGAGGACAAGACGAAAUAUCUCCUGUCGUCAAACAAACAGUCAGCGCAUUCGCGUCUUGGCUCCCACGUCACUGUUGACAGUCAUAACUUUGAAGUUGUAGAUAAUUUCGUCUACCUGGGAACCAGCAUUAACAGCAAUAACAAUAUCAGCCUAGAAAUCCAACGCAGAAUCACUCUUGCCAACAGGUGCUACUAUGGACUAAGUAGGCAAUUGAAAAGUAAAGUCCUAUCUCGACGAACAAAAACCAAACUCUACAAGUCUCUCAUCAUUCCCGUCCUACUUUACGGUGCAGAAGCGUGGACGAUGUCAACAUCCGAUGAGACGGCACUAGGAGUUUUCGAGAGAAAGGUUUUGCGGAAGAUUUAUGGUCCCUUAAGAAUUGGCAACGGCGAAUACCGCAGACGAUGGAACGAUGAGCUGUAUGUGUUAUUCGACGACAUAGACAUAGUCCAGCGAAUAAAAAAACAGCGGCUACGCUGGCUAGGACAUGUUGUUCGAAUGGAUGAAGGUGCUCCAGCUCUGAAAGUAUUCGAUGCAGUACCCGCUGGUGGAAGCAGAGGAAGAGGGAGACCUCCACUCCGAUGGAAGGACCAGGUGGAGAGGGACCUGGCUUCGCUUGGAAUAACCAAUUGGCGCCAAACUGCCAGAAGGAGAGAUGCGUGGCGCGCUGUUUUGGACUCGGCUAUAACCGCGUACGCGGUGUCUACGCCAGUCAAGGAGAAGAAUAUUAAAAGAAAAGUGCUAAAUAUAAGAAGAACAAGCAACAAUAUAUAUAUUAUAUUUGUUCCUGCUAUUCCUGCAAGGACCACAGGACGACAGGGCUUUAUUUCGCCAACAAUGUUAAAAUACAUACAUAUAUGUAGAUUAAGAAUAAAAUAAGAUUAUAUAUCAUUUGAAUUGUUAAAUUAGAACAUAAAUUGCAUAAUUAUAAUAAUUUAUAUAUAAAUAUAAUUUUAAUGUUAAUAACUUGCAAAUGUCAAAAAUUAAUAAUAGCUUAAACUGUUUAAGUUUAUAAGAUUAUACUAUCUACAUAUUUGAUUUUGUAAUGAUUGAAAAUGUAAUAAAAUAAAUUAAAAAACAAAAAAAAAAUGAAUUGUUUUUACCUGUUAGCGGAAAGAUAUAACAAAUAUAGGUAACAAACUGCUAACGAAAACAAUGACCCGUUCGGUAACAAAUGCAUCUGUUCUGAAUAACAUAGGGGUAACAUAGGUGCUAACAUAAGCUUCAGCAGAGGUAACAUAUAUAUAACAUGCCAAACAUGAAAAUAUAUGAUGCCAUUAACAGACGGUAAGUUGUCAAAACUUGACCAAUAGGAGGCAAGUAUAAGUGUUAUCGUAGAACGGGACAACUUAUGCAAAAUGUAAUUGGAUAGAGUGAGAAGACCAUUGAACGAGUAGGGGCAUAGUGUUACUUCUUUCCCACGCUUCGAACAAAAGUAACAGACAUAUUAAUUUUUGCUAAUGUUUAGAGUAACACAGCUGUAACAUGUUAGUUGAAAAAUACCCGUCUUGCAGGGAUUUUGUGAUAUGGAUCGUGAUCCAUCAAUAUUGCAUGCUAAACGUUCAAUAAAUAUCGCGAUACAGGAAAUAUCACGAUAAAUACUGGACGUGUAGCAGGCGCCAAAGUGCAAAUAUGCCAAACCUGAGAGAAAUUGAUAAAACAGCAAUUUGGGCUUUGCGUUCUCAGAACUUGAGUGUACCCAAAAUUUGUGAACAAAUAAAGUUUAUUUAGACUACUAUCAGUGUUUUCCUUCAAAAAUACAGUAUACUCUCGAAAAGUAAAUUCACAGAAAGUAAAUACGAUGAGCUUAAUAGCUUUUAAAUCGGGUAAUAUGUGAAAUAUAUUUAUGCCGAAUAUAUGGGUCAAAUUGUGUGUUAUCUUAAUAAAAAUAUAGCAAUAAAUUGCGAGAGUAUAACAUGUUCGGUUGCACCCGAACUUAGUCUUUCCUUAAUUAUUCAGGAUGAUUCUGCACCCUGCCAUAGAGCCAAAUCGAUAUAUUAAAUGAAGACAUUUUGGUAUCUCUAUCAUUAUUACUAUUUCCAAAAAAAAAACAAUUUUCUAUUGUAUCACGUUUAGUUUAGAAUAUUUUAAAUAAAUGCCAAAUUUUAAAUUAAAAUAUCGGAAACAUUUUAGUUUGGUUUCUAAUCGAAAAUGAAAAGAUUUAUUUUUAACUGAAAUAUUAAUUUAUGUUGGAAAUACUUAUAUAAAUCUGGUUACAUAAAACAAAUUUUCAUAUAACUCUUCUUUUAAAGAAAAUCAAAUAAUCACACAUUUCUAGAGUGUCCAUUGUUUUUUUUUGUCAGCUACUGUAUAUAUGUAUUUUCACUUCAACCGUUUGUUAAAACCUAAUGCCUGUAUUAGGUAAAACUAAUAAAAAAAAUAAAAAUACUAUAACGGUGGGUAAUAUUCAAUGUUCAAAAAAUUUAAAGGGCCAAAUGGAGUAUUACCAAUCCAGUUCAAAAAGUUGAAGAAGAAGGCAAACAUGCUAUUGAAUCGCCAGGAUUGCCAAAUCAAUUUGAUAUACCUCCAGAAGACUACACAUUGAGGGAAUUAGAACAACGUGCUGUAAUAGACCCUCAGUCAUUAAAUAAUCCUGAAGUCAUUAAGCUUCAACGCAU